CGCAUCUGUGCAUGCAGCAUAUCAAUAAGCGAGGAAAAGAAACUAACAAGGAUUCCCCUAGUAACGGCGAGUGAAGCGGGAAGAGCUCAAAUUUGAAAUCUUAAAGGGUUUCCCUUUACGAAUUGUAGUUUAAAGAAGUGUUUUCUGUUGAGGUUUUGGUAAAAGUUCUUUGGAAUAGGACAUCAUAGAGGGUGAGAAUCCCGUAUUUGACCUUUACUUUCAACUUUGUGAUACACUUUCAAAGAGUCGGAUUGUUUGGGAAUGCAGUCCAAAAUGGGUGGUAAAUUUCAUCUAAAGCUAAAUAUUGGCGAGAGACCGAUAGCGAACAAGUACCGUGAGGGAAAGAUGAAAAGAACUUUGAAAAGAGAGUUAAACAGUACGUGAAAUUGUCAAAAGGGAAGCGUUUGACACCAGUGUUGUUUUUCUGAAAAUCAAUUAAAGAACUGUUUAUGCUAAGCUGUUUAGACUUUAUCAGCUAUCUGUUUAGUUUUGAGCUUUUCUUUAAUGCACUUUUCAGUUAACAAGUCAACAUCAAUUUCUUUUGCUGUAAAAAAGCUUGAGGAAGGUGGCUUGAGAUUCGUCUUAAGUGUUUAUAGCCUCUUGCCUAUGCAGUCGGAGAGAUUGAGGUCUGCAGCGUAGAUCCUUCGGGGCUAAAUGCAUUUGUGCUAAGUUAUAGCAUUUUAUAGACAACUUGUUGACUAUGAUUUGUCUUGUAGCUUACUCGCUUAUGUUAUUUUACCUACGCUUAGGAUGUUGAGUCGUAGAGCACGCAG
rnacentral:rRNA from 1 species